CCUACGGGAGGCAGCAGUGGGGAAUUUUGCGCAAUGCUCGUAAGAGUGACGCAGCGACGCCGCGUGAGUGAAGAAUGCCUUCGGGGCGUAAAGUUCUUUCGACGGGGGGGAAAAUGCCUCUAAGUGACGAUGUUUGUAUUUACGGUACCUGUAUAGACAGCCCCGUCUAACUCCGUGACAGCCGCCGCGGUAAUACGGAGGGGGCGAGCGCUGUUCGGAGGGACUGGGCGUAAAGAGCACGUAGGCGGGGUUGUAAGUCAUUAGUCAAAGACUAGAGCUCAACCUUAGUAAGGCUAGUGAUACUAUAAUACUAGAGUAUGAGAGAGGAUGGCAGAAUUCGUGGUGUAGCGGUGAGAUGCGUAGAUAUCAGGAGGAAUACCGUUAGCGAAGGCGGCAAGCUGGAUGGAAACUGACGCUGAGGUGCGAAAGCGUGGGUAGCAAACAGGAUUAGAUACCCCAGUAGUC
rnacentral:rRNA from 1 species